rnacentral:rRNA from 1 species
GUGCCAGCCGCCGCGGUAAGACGAGGGAUCCUAGCGUUGUUCGGAAUCAUUGGGCGUAAAGCGGGUGUAGGUUGCUUUUUAAGUCAGGUGUGAAAGCCUAGGGCUCAACCCUAGAAGUGCAUCUGAUACUAUUAAGCUUGAGUGUGGAAGAGGCUAUUAGAAUUCCUGGUGUAGUGGUGAAAUACGUAGAUAUCAGGAGGAAUACCAGCUGCGAAGGCGGAUAGCUGGUCCAACACUGACACUAAGACCCGAAAGCGUGGGGAUCAAACAGGAUUAGAUACCCUGGUAGUCCACGCCGUAAACGAUGGAUACUUGUUGUUGGAGGUAUUGACCCCUUCAGUGACGAAGCUAACGCGUUAAGUAUCCCGCCUGGGAAGUACGGUCGCAAGAUUAAAACUCAAAUGAAUUGACGG